ensembl:ncRNA lncRNA:CR43421 long non-coding RNA:CR43421
AAAAAUUAAAAAAGAACAUCCAUAUGACACUAGGAAUAUUGGCUACGUCAAUCAACUGAAAAACCAUUAACUAAUAGUGCAUUACCGACUACCGAACUGAGUUCGCACUGUACCAAUGGUUGCGGAAAAGCCUCCGGCUGAGCAAGAAGAAGACCGGUGGCAACACCUUUGGAAAACCCAUUUUCCUGGGAGCCGUCGCUGCUGGCACUUCCCCAUCAUCAUCGUCAUUAUGGGAAUGCCUCCUGGUGGGACUAUCGGCGGCCCAGCAUCUUGAUGAUCGGAGCAGGAACCAGAGCCAUUGCGAAACGUGAUUUGUAGGGUCAUCAUUCAAAAGGCAUCGACUACAAGCGCGGCGAGAUCUCAUCCCAAGCCGAAGCAGUCGCAGCGAAGGAGUCGCUAUCCCUGGCCAGCCUGGUCCUAAAAUCCAGAUGCCCGACGAUUCCGAGCAGCAGCCGAAAAGAAAAUUAAAAUGGUUAUACAUUCAUGUAAUUUAACGAAAUUCAAUUGAAUGCCAAGUCACAACAACUGCCCGACCAGGGGCCAAACUAAACUAAAGCGAACUAAACCGAACUCCCAGCUCAGGUCGCAUCUGACUUUACAGAGAGAGAAAUUAAGCAGCUGGUCAGAAGUGUAAACUAUAAUAUUAAAUAUUUAAAACACAUU